GGGUUGUGAGGUUAAGCGACUAAGCGUACACGGUGGAUGCCCUGGCAGUCAGAGGCGAUGAAGGACGUGCUAAUCUGCGAUAAGCGUCGGUAAGGUGAUAUGAACCGUUAUAACCGGCGAUUUCCGAAUGGGGAAACCCAGUGUGAUUCGUCACACUAUCAUUAACUGAAUCCAUAGGUUAAUGAGGCGAACCGGGGGAACUGAAACAUCUAAGUACCCCGAGGAAAAGAAAUCAACCGAGAUUCCCCCAGUAGCGGCGAGCGAACGGGGAGGAGCCCAGAGCCUGAAUCAGUGUGUGUGUUAGUGGAAGCGUCUGGAAAGGCGCGCGAUACAGGGUGACAGCCCCGUACACAAAAAUGCACAUACUGUGAGCUCGAUGAGUAGGGCGGGACACGUGGUAUCCUGUCUGAAUAUGGGGGGACCAUCCUCCAAGGCUAAAUACUCCUGACUGACCGAUAGUGAACCAGUACCGUGAGGGAAAGGCGAAAAGAACCCCGGCGAGGGGAGUGAAAAAGAACCUGAAACCGUGUACGUACAAGCAGUGGGAGC
rnacentral:rRNA from 2 species